UACGUAGGGUGCGAGCGUUUGUCCGGAAUUAUUGGGCGUAAAGAGCUCGUAGGCGGUGUGUCGCGUCGGCCGUGAAAACCUGCAGCUUAACUGUGGGCUUGCGGUCGAUACGGGCAUCACUGGAGUUCGGCAGGGGAGACUGGAAUUCCUGGUGUAGCGGUGAAAUGCGCAGAUAUCAGGAGGAACACCGGUGGCGAAGGCGGGUCUCUGGGCCGAUACUGACGCUGAGGAGCGAAAGCGUGGGGGAGCGAACAGG
rnacentral:rRNA from 1 species